UUAUGUUUACUAAAAAUGGAAUAUGCAUUUAUUCUUGCUAGAUUACACCUACUUUUGACAUCAAACUUGCAGGAGAAAGCGAAAUGUGAACUGAAAUAAUAGUCAGCAAUAAGGUUAGCCAGAUAUUGAAUUGUCAAUCAGAGUUUAAAAAGGUUUGAGAUAAGUCUGAAAGUUGCUUGUUAUAGCAUCAAAACCAGCUAAAAGCGGAAAAUUUCAAUAUUUGGAUGCAUCAUGAGUUAGCAGAAUCUUCAACACAGAAAGGUACACGAAGUUUGGGGAGAGAGGUAUGCCAUGAAGGAAGCAGUCACUACCCGUUACGAAUGUUAAAAAAAAAAAAAAAAAAAAAAAAAAAAAAAACCCCCAAAAAAAGAAAAAUUUUUUUUUUUUCACGAAGUUUGGGGAGAGAGGUAUGCCAUGAAGGAAGCAGUCACUACCCGUUACGAAUGUUAAAAAAAAAAAA
rnacentral:lncRNA from 1 species